rnacentral:rRNA from 1 species
UACGGGGGGGGCAAGCGUUGUUCGGAAUUACUGGGCGUAAAGGGCUUGUAGGUGGCCAACUAAGUCAGACGUGAAAUCCCUCAGCUUAACUGGGGAACUGCGUCUGAUACUGGAUGGCUUGAGUUUGGGAGAGGGAUGCGGAAUUCCGGGUGUAGCGGUGAAAUGCGUAGAUAUCUGGAGGAACACCGGUGGCGAAGGCGGCAUCCUGGACCAACACUGACACUGAGGAGCGAAAGCCAGGGGAGCAAACGGG